CUACGGGACGCACCAGUGAGGAAUAUUGGUCAAUGGGCGAAAGCCUGAACCAGCCAUGCCGCGUGAAGGAUGACGGCCCUAUGGGUUGUAAACUUCUUUUAUACGGGAAGAAACACCUCUACGUGUAGAGGUUUGACGGUACCGUACGAAUAAGCAUCGGCUAACUCCGUGCCAGCAGCCGCGGUAAUACGGAGGAUGCAAGCGUUAUCCGGAUUUAUUGGGUUUAAAGGGUACGUAGGCGGAAACUUAAGUCAGUAGUGAAAUCCCGCAGCUUAACUAUGGAACUGUUAUUGAUACUGGGUUUCUUGAAUAUUGUUGAGGUAGGCGGAAUAAGCAAUGUAGCGGUGAAAUGCUUAGAUAUUACUUAGAACACCGAUUGCGAAGGCAGCUUACUAAGCAAUUAUUGACGCUGAGGUACGAAAGCGUGGGGAGCGAAUAGGAUUAGAUACCCGCGUAGUC
rnacentral:rRNA from 1 species